AUGACUAGGGAUAACCUUAGGAAAAGGCACAUCAUCAAGCCUCUUGACUGUGUGUUUUGUGCAGAUGAUGAAACCAAAUCCCACUUAUUCUUUGAGUGUGUAGUAGCUAGGAAUAUUUGUUCUUUUGUUGGUGAAUUCUCCCAAAUCCAGAUAGGCACAGACUUUGAGUCUGUUGCACGCUUCUGGGUCUCUAACAAGAAAAACUCUACUUUAAAUACCAUUAGUUCUGCUGUCUUGUGGUGUUUGUGGAAAUAUAGGAACUCUAUGAUUUUUAAUAACGCCAUCUGGACUUCUAUCACUUAGGUUUGGAGCCUGUUAAUCAGAAUGCUCAAAUUUUGGGUCGUCCUGUCACCGGAGGCGGGGAGAGCAAAAUUGGAGAGUUUCCUGAGCUCACUAACAAGAUUUGCUCAACAACCCCUGCAAAUACGGAGUGGCUGA
rnacentral:rRNA from 1 species